rnacentral:rRNA from 1 species
GAGACGGAUGGGCAUGCGGCGCAUUAGCUAGUUGGCGGGGUAACGGCCCACCAAGGCGACGAUGCGUAGGGGUUCUGAGAGGAAGGUCCCCCACACUGGUACUGAGACACGGACCAGACUCCUACGGGAGGCAGCAGUGAGGAAUAUUGGUCAAUGGGCGAGAGCCUGAACCAGCCAAGUCGCGUGAGGGAGUACUGCCCUAUGGGUUGUAAACCUCUUUUGUCGGGGAGCAAAAGCCGGACGUGUCCGGCUGUGAGAGUACCCGAAGAAAAAGCAUCGGCUAACUCCGUGCCAGCAGCCGCGGUAAUACGGAGGAUGCGAGCGUUAUCCGGAUUUAUUGGGUUUAAAGGGUGCGCAGGCGGAUUUUUAAGUCAGCGGUCAAAUCGUGGGGCUCAACCCCAUCCAGCCGUUGAAACUGGGGAUCUAGAGUGUGCGAGAGGUAUGCGGAAUGCGUGGUGUAGCGGUGAAAUGCAUAGAUAUCACGCAGAACCCCGAUUGCGAAGGCAGCAUACCGGUGCACAACUGACGCUCAGGCACGAAAGCGUGGGUAUCGAACAGGAUUAGAUACCCUGGUAGUCCACGCAGUAAACGAUGAAUGCUACCUGUUUGGCCAGAUUGAAGGCUGAGCGGG